ACAAGACUGAAGAGCACUGCCUGUCUGUGCCAAGUAACGUUCCGGUGACAUGUUAACGUUAGUUGCUCAACUCUUAUAUGUCAGAACACUCUUCUUACGACCAAGUUACAAUUUCACCAUGACGACAGUUAUAUUCUGAACAAAGUUUAUCCGAAAACGCUGCAUCUACUUUGACAUUAACUUUUUUUUUUUUAUCGCCGUGUUGAACUCACGGAGCGGAUAACGCUUCAAUGAGGCAAGUGUAGGGAAAGGAUGCUACCGGUUUAGCAAAAGAACGUUAGCUUAGCUGUUAGCCCCGGUGACAGAAAUUCGUGAAAUAACAUUACUGAACGUACGUUGAUUGAAGAGACUCUCCUCCGUUUCACUCCAAGCAACUCAAGAGAAGUGACGUCAGCUCAAGGCUUCUACAAUGCAAACUUUUGUUCUCAAAACUGCAGCCAGCGAGUGCACAAACUAUCUGCGAUUUCACUUAACACAUCUGUAAGAUGCUGCAGUCACAGGAGCUACUGACUGGACUGAGUGAAACACAUGCCUGGCUGGAUGAACACACAUGGUGAGGGAGGAAAAAAAGAUGUGAUAAAUUUGUCAGCCGAGCUACAGGAUACCUGGGUUUUUAAUUGUAUUGGACACUCUUCAUUAGAGAGAAUGAGCGAUGGGAGAGAUCAGAGCAGCGUCACUUUAGAAAGCCUUUUCCGGCCAUGGUUUUUCACAUUGUACAAUCAAAAUGUCAGCCUACCUUGGUCAUUUGUAACAUAAUAAAUCGCAGUCGAUGGCUGCAAUGCAGCAGCAAGCUGGGGGAAGGGCAAACAGUCUGUCCCCUUUUAAAGGGAUUUUUAAAGAGUCUUGAUUAGAAAGUAUAAUGAGAUACCAAAGACACAGCAAAGAUGAUCUCUCUAGAGACUGAUGGAAAACAAAUUAAGAUGGUACUUUUGUUUUUAAUUAUUAUUUUUCUAUCAGUCCAGAGAAAGCUCAGUAUACCCUCAGUAAAGGCACAGGGUUUAGACUCACUGUCAUUGAUUUUUAUUUUUUUUUGCACUGACAUAUUUAAAUAAUACAGAUUUUAAUUAUGUCAGCACACAAUGCUCUGAUCCCUUUAACACCAAAGCCUUCCAGCACUGCACAUGCAUUUGAUUUAGAAAAUGGCACAGUGUCUGAGCUAAAAAAAACUGGGUACAUUUAUCACUUAAGUUUGCAUCUGUGUGUGUGUUUGUGAUUGUUUGUGUGUGGAAUACGCAGUUUAAACUUUAGGCUCUAAUACACUGUUUUCAACAGUUCUGAGCUAACCAAUCCCAAAAAUCUGCCACACCAUGUGAGUUGUCAGAUAUAAAAAUGUAAACCUGUAAAGUUAGUUUAUGCAUUCAUUUUGCAUCAAACACAUGUAAAUAUGUGACAUUCUAUAUAUUAAAAACAUUCAUUUUACACAUCCAAACUGUAACGUAACUAAGAUUACGGUAGCCCUAUAGAUGGUAAAGAAGUGUAGUAUGGCAUGGCUUGACAUAAAAUAGAGUAUACUACUGUUCUAGCAUGGCUGGUCAGAGAGCAAUCAUAUAAAUAGUGGCCUUUGUUUUCCUCUGUUAAUUGGAGCAUGCUCCAGGAUAGUGAAUGGGGGAGAAACACGAGACUUCCAGGACAUGAGAAACAGAUGCUCUACCCUUCUGUGUACAGACACCUUUCCCAGGAAAGACUGGAACAUGAAUAGAGGAUGAGCUGAAUAGAAAUAACUCAAAUGUGGUAGAAUCCUGAGAAAAAGAGAUGUGAAACCGGAAAGGCAGGAAGGAGUUCUGACUGACUUUGACCCUGGCUUUUGUAUUUACACAAAGACCAGAGUCAGUACUGUUUCUUAUGUAUUUACAAGUUUAAGACAUUGUGAAGUCUAUGAGCAAGCCAAGGGGUUGUUUUGUGUUCUGUAUUGUGUUUUAUUGACACAUAACAUGAUAAUUCACAGGCUUGAUGAACUGUCUUGUGAUCCAGCGUGGCACUAAUUUUCAUUCCAUCUGUCACACUACUGUAUGUCAUAUCUUAUUCAUGCAUGCCGAUGUCCAUUUUAAUUAGUCAUUCUGGGUCAGCGUAGACCUCUUCCUGCUUCAAGCAGUGGUGUGGCAGAUGUGUGAAUGAAAUUCAUCUGCUAUUAUUUGAGCGAAAAUAGGCCAUUACAGCCAUUGUAAUGAGACAACAGCCCCGCUGCGAUAAUAAAAUACAUACAUCCCAGUUAAACAGAAAAGACGGUUUUAGGGAUGUAACAGCAUAAAUCACUUAAGUUGAAAUCUGUUUGCAAAAAAUAAAUGGUUAUGCCUCAAAAGUUUUAUCAUAAAUUAAAUUCAACCCCAUUAUUUCCAAAAAAUCAAAUGAGGCUUUUCAGUAUAUUAGUGUUACAAUAAAUUAUCAUAAUUAUGCCCUCUGCAUGCCAAUACAUGUUUUUCUCUGUUGUAACUAGUGACAAACAGGAGCUUAACUUUUCUGCAGCAUUACAAAUGUGUGCAGACUCAGCAGACCUUAUACAGUCUGAUAAUCAGACUGAAUUGCCGUUUUGUUUUCACAUCAUUAUUUAAUCUUAACUAAUUCUAUUUGAAUUGCUAAAAAAUGUUUAGAUGAGGGCAGUAAUUAAGAGACCAGGAACCAGACUAGAAUAUGUACACUGUUGUGUGAAGAAAGGAACAUUUACAAUCACACUCCAAGCUUUCUCAAUGUAUCAUUCAGAGGUCCAUUCAAACGGAAGCUUACUCACAGCAAUCAGCUACUGUACCUCGAAUAAAUUAUACUUGCAUAACUUAUACUUGUUGCAUAUUCAUUAGCGUGAACCACUCUUUGGUCUUCUAAAUUUGAGCUUUGAAAAUAAAUAUCUGCUGAAAUCUAACCAAUUAAGUCAUUUUUAAAGCGCCAAUCUGUACAUACAUUUUGUGGUUUUUGCAUUUUUGACAAAAUAGGCCUCUUUUACUCCAGUUUACAUAAAGAGGAAAUUUUAACUAGAACUUGAAAGAAGCAACAGUUUAACAUCUCCAACCACACACACAACCCCACACGCGGCUCCUAUGGCUUCAGUCCCGUACCCCACACUGCAGCCAUGGUCUUCUCCAGUCCCAUUCUGCUGUUUGGACUUUUAUCUCGCACAGCAUGUUAAUUAUUGGCUUCCAAAGCGAGACUACAUGACUUUCUUAAUCAUCAAGAAGACUUUCAGCUCAGCUUGUGGAGACAUGAUAAGCUUUCUAUAACUUAACAUCGGAUCUUGUGUUUCAUCGACCCUAUUUACUUUGUGUUCAUGUUUCAAGAUAUUUGUUACCUCUAGACUUUAUUUUACCCUAGAAUAUUUAACAGGUGUGUCAUUUUUAGAAAUCAGUGUUCUUACAGAUUGUUGUCCAACAACAAAUAUUCUUACAAGUGUCAAACUGAUAAGCUUCUUUGUUUCCAGACCUCAAUAAUUAGUGGGAGAAAAUCCCUUUCCUGCAUUGCAAAGGAAGGGACUUGACAGAAAUGUGAUUCACUGUCCCACCUUGUGGCCAAAUCUAGAAAUGGCCUGGAAUGCUCGGAGGAAAAGGUUAUUGUUUUGGUUCUCUCUUAGUGCGCUACAUCAAUAAAUGUUCAUAAAUACCUUUGAUCACUCAUAACUAGAUGUUAAAAACAUCAAGAGAAAGUCCUCAACAAUAAGAGGCAUAAGAAGCCAAGAUUUAAAGAGAAUUUGUUAGAUGACAGAUUUUUUGAAGUCUAAAAUUAGAUGUGCAUGAAUGUGAAGGGAAAAAAAAGAGAUUUCCUGCUGACUUCUCUCAGUUCUGCUUCAUCUUGGCCCAUGCUGAGAUGUCAACAGAGCCACUGGACAUUUGGAGGGAGUGACACUUUUCAGAUGACAGUGAUUUAGAUAUCCUCUCAGAACUAAUUAGACUCUAUCCCCAAUUUCAGUGUCCCAAUUCAUCCUUUUCUCCUCAAUUAUGCAUCGACAUAUAUAUUUAGCAGAAAUGUUCUAUAUAGAUCACACAGAAUGGAGAGAAGUCAUUCUUUUUUCUCGACUUACAAAUUUGUGACACUGCUGGACAACCCAAGGAUGGAAGGCGACAUAUUUCUGGCAGCAGACUACUAGAAAUACUUCCUGCUACUGCCUAAUAGAACUUUCUGACUCAGAUCAGUUCAAUAAAGCAAAAACAAGCCCUUCUUACAGUCAAACAUACUUUAUUAUGAAAAACACACAAGGGCUCAGAUCCUGCCAAAUUAAUCUCAAAUAUUGCACAAAAGCAUACAUGCUGUUGAAAAUGUGUACCUCUUGGCAUAAUUCUGCAAUAUACCCAUCCCACAGCCAAAUCUUGAUUGUCUUUAAUGUCACAGGAGGAUUUAUUAUUUCCAACAUUAAAAUCAUGUCCACUCUCUAAAAAAUAAAAACGACGAUAAUGCCAAGAUUGAAUUUCAUAGGGCAGCAAGGGAAUACUUAACAGAAACCCCAAAAAUACAUAUUGUAUCUUUUGAUCAGGUAAAAAGUACAUAAAGGGCAGAUGAACCAUGAAUGUAGAUUCUUUUCAUGAUAGCCAGCUUGAAAAUAUCCUGGAAUGAAUAAAGAGUUUGAUCAGUGUCACGAUUUUUAACUACAUCUGGUUUUACUGGCUAUAUUUGGUUAGUUUCACACCUUGUCACAA